UACGUAGGGGGGCAAGCGUUGUCCGGAUUCAUUGGGCGUAAAGAGCGUGUAGGCGGCCAGGUAGGUCGGUUGUGAAAACUCGAGGCUCAACCUCGAGACGUCGAUGGAAACCAUCUGGCUAGAGUCCGGAAGAGGGGAGUGGAAUUCCUGGUGUAGCGGUGAAAUGCGCAGAUAUCAGGAGGAACACCGAUGGCGAAGGCAGGUCUCUGGGCAUUAACUGACGCUGAGGAGCGAAAGCAUGGGGAGCGAACAGG
rnacentral:rRNA from 1 species